AGAGUUUGAUCAUGGCUCAGAUUGAACGCUGGCGGCAGGCUUAACACAUGCAAGUCGAGCGGAGAGAGGUAGCUUGCUACUGAUCUUAGCGGCGGACGGGUGAGUAAUGCUUAGGAAUCUACCUAUUAGUGGGGGACAACAUUUCGAAAGGAAUGAUAAUACCGCAUACGUCCUACGGGAGAAAGCAGGGGAUCUUCGGACCUUGCGCUAAUAGAUGAGCCUAAGUCGGAUUAGCUAGUUGGUGGGGUAAAGGCCUACCAAGGCGACGAUCUGUAGCGGGUCUGAGAGGAUGAUCCGCCACACUGGGACUGAGACACGGCCCAGACUCCUACGGGAGGCAGCAGUGGGGAAUAUUGGACAAUGGGCGCAAGCCUGAUCCAGCCAUGCCGCGUGUGUGAAGAAGGCCUUAUGGUUGUAAAGCACUUUAAGCGAGGAGGAGGCUACUUUAGUUAAUACCUAGAGAUAGUGGACGUUACUCGCAGAAUAAGCACCGGCUAACUCUGUGCCAGCAGCCGCGGUAAUACAGAGGGUGCAAGCGUUAAUCGGAUUUACUGGGCGUAAAGCGCGCGUAGGCGGCUAAUUAAGUCAAAUGUGAAAUCCCCGAGCUUAACUUGGGAAUUGCAUUCGAUACUGGUUAGCUAGAGUGUGGGAGAGGAUGGUAGAAUUCCAGGUGUAGCGGUGAAAUGCGUAGAGAUCUGGAGGAAUACCGAUGGCGAAGGCAGCCAUCUGGCCUAACACUGACGCUGAGGUGCGAAAGCAUGGGGAGCAAACAGGAUUAGAUACCCUGGUAGUCCAUGCCGUAAACGAUGUCUACUAGCCGUUGGGGCCUUUGAGGCUUUAGUGGCGCAGCUAACGCGAUAAGUAGACCGCCUGGGGAGUACGGUCGCAAGACUAAAACUCAAAUGAAUUGACGGGGGCCCGCACAAGCGGUGGAGCAUGUGGUUUAAUUCGAUGCAACGCGAAGAACCUUACCUGGCCUUGACAUAGUAAGAACUUUCCAGAGAUGGAUUGGUGCCUUCGGGAACUUACAUACAGGUGCUGCAUGGCUGUCGUCAGCUCGUGUCGUGAGAUGUUGGGUUAAGUCCCGCAACGAGCGCAACCCUUUUCCUUAUUUGCCAGCGAGUAAUGUCGGGAACUUUAAGGAUACUGCCAGUGACAAACUGGAGGAAGGCGGGGACGACGUCAAGUCAUCAUGGCCCUUACGGCCAGGGCUACACACGUGCUACAAUGGUCGGUACAAAGGGUUGCUACCUAGCGAUAGGAUGCUAAUCUCAAAAAGCCGAUCGUAGUCCGGAUUGGAGUCUGCAACUCGACUCCAUGAAGUCGGAAUCGCUAGUAAUCGCGGAUCAGAAUGCCGCGGUGAAUACGUUCCCGGGCCUUGUACACACCGCCCGUCACACCAUGGGAGUUUGUUGCACCAGAAGUAGCUAGCCUAACUGCAAAGAGGGCGGUUACCACGGUGUGGCCGAUGACUGGGGUGAAGUCGUAACAAGGUAGCCGUAGGGGAACCUGCGGCUGGAUCACCU
rnacentral:rRNA from 1 species